rfam:Pleurotus ostreatus PC15 unplaced genomic scaffold scaffold_01, whole genome shotgun sequence.
GGGCGUAUGGUGUAGUUGGUUUAUCACGCCCGCUUUGCAUUCCUGUUGGCGGCUUGCGGGAGGUGUUGGGUUCAAUUCCCAAUGCGUCCA